rnacentral:rRNA from 1 species
GACGAACGCUGGCGGCGUGCUUAACACAUGCAAGUCGAACGGAAAGGCCCUGCUUUUGUGGGGUGCUCGAGUGGCGAACGGGUGAGUAACACGUGAGUAACCUGCCCUUGACUUUGGGAUAACUUCAGGAAACUGGGGCUAAUACCGGAUAGGAGCUCCUGCUGCAUGGUGGGGGUUGGAAAGUUUCGGCGGUUGGGGAUGGACUCGCGGCUUAUCAGCUUGUUGGUGGGGUAGUGGCUUACCAAGGCUUUGACGGGUAGCCGGCCUGAGAGGGUGACCGGCACCAUUGGACCUGGGGAACGGCCAGAACCCCAACGGGGGGAAGGGGGGGGAAAUUUUCCAAACGGGGCGGAGGCAGGGGGGGGCACCGCCGGGGGGGGAAGAACGGCUUUGGGGUUGUAAAACGUUUUGCCCUGUAAGGAGGCGUGGGGACGGGAAAGGGGAAAAAAGGCACGGGUAAAUACGGG